UCCCCCCACCCCAGCCCACCCCAGCCCAGCUUUGUUUGUUCAUUUUCACUCAGCCUAGGCCUCAUUUACCACAGGAUUUGCUCAGGAUCCUUCUGGAGUGCCUCAGAGUUGUUAAGUGACAAUCUAAAAGCCGAUUUCGGAUUAGCUAGCUUAACCAGGUGAACCGAGGGCUUCGCUUUGAUUGGAGAGGAACGCUGGAGCUGUGCUUGGAAGUCCAUAUUGUGAGAGUGGAGGGCUUUAUCAACAUCCUGAGAGGCGUGCAUUCAGAAUAGCUGCUGAUGAGAAUCUCCCUAAUCAGGGAAGGAUUAGCAAAGGCUCAAAGCUCUCCUACUUCUAAUUCCUUCUCCAUGACGCUGUUCAUGCACUGCAAAAUGGUCUAGUGCAAUACAAGAAGUAUAAAUAUUAGAUGAGGCUCUCUGCCGGCCUAAUUAGCACUUUCGAAGGGAGCUUGUCAUUGAGCAAUACGUAAUAAUCACUGCAGAAUCACACGGAAGGAGGGCCGGGUUUCGUUAGGGGAACGGAAAGCGACGAGGAAAGUGUGCAUGGAUUUAGAGGGCCAGUGGGGAAAAAAGAAGAUGGUGAAUGGACGAAUAUGGAUAUUCAUUUGAAAAAAUACAAAAUGUCAACUUGGUGGAAGCCUUUAUUUCAAGUCUUGGAAAGCAAGUCUUCUGUCAAGUCAGCAAAUACUUUAAAUGCCUGCUGUAUGCCACAUAUUCAAAUCCUGAGUGUAUUGUUACCCAGGAUAUCCUCUGCAGAUCCAUUUCAAGAAACCAUGUUUGUUCAAGCAUUCUCCAACAUUGGUCACUUUCUGACAUUAACCUUAUUCUUUAAUGGGCAAAGGCUUUGGAAAAUAUAUUGCUUGGUAAAACACAAAUUGAAUGGACCAAUGCACUAAUCAACACUCUUUGGCUAUCACCAAACAGCAUAAGUCAAAAUGAAAGUGUGGCAAAUAUGUCACCAUGUGCUGACGUACUGUAUACUGACAAGAUGGAUGGAUGGAUGAAUGAAUGGAUGGAUGGAUGGAUGUGGGCUGCUGAAAAUAAAUGAGUCUUAUGUUACA
rnacentral:lncRNA from 1 species